UCCCUGGUAGCUCAGGUGGUAAAGAUUCUGCCUGCAAUGCAGGGGACCCAGGUUCAAUCCCUGGGUUGGGAA
rnacentral:tRNA from 1 species